rnacentral:lncRNA from 1 species
GGAGAUUAUGUAUCUGUUAUGGUGAAUGGGCCUUGUAAGUUUUCUACAAUAUCAGCUUAUUAACCCAUAGAGAGAGUGGCCAACUUCUAUCAUUGAAAAUAGUUGGUUCUUUUUGUACUUUCAGUUAUUAAUUGUUUUUCAAGAAACCGCCACUUGAUGGACCGCAUGUCUGCAUGCCUAACAACAAUGAUAAGAAAACUUUGAUGGAUUGCAUUGUUUUACAGCAGUAGUACAACACAUGGAAUUGUAAUGCAGGGAAUUCUGGAGCUGAGCCCUUUAUUGGUGCCCAUUUCAAGCACCCUUCAAUUGACUUUUUGGUCCAUAAGGUAAGUACCAAAAAAUAUUAUGUAUUGUUUUGUGUUUCUUUCUUUUUGUGGGAUAAUUGCUGCUUUGCCCUUAUAGUAUUAUGAAAUAUUAUUAGUCUGGUCAAUAAUUCAGGACAUUGGUGCAUAUAUGAGAAUCGGAUAUCUAAAGGUACAUGACCAACCGAGUGUCAAUGCUUUGUUUACACCAGAUUUAUUACAGCUAAUAAAAUAACAAAAUGCACUGAAAAAAGCACACAUGACACAACUAAUCCAUUUCAUACAUAAAUCCCUUGAUAAAACCUUGUCAAAAGGAGGACAUAUCGUGAUGUAUAAUGAAGUACAACAGUUCACUACUCCAUUUACAAUUCUGCACACUUAUCAUGAUGUAUAAGCCCAUCAGAGUUGGUCUCAGUUGUCCUUUUUCAAUAUGAUUGUAUAUUCUUCAUUCCUAAGGCCUUAGUUGUAUUUCAAGUUGUUAAAUAAGUAUCAACAUUAAGGCUGACUUAUAUUUUUUGCAAGGUCAAUUUAUUUGGUAAGGUCACUUUUCAGGAAUAUGAGUUUGUAGGACUUUUGAGUAGCCAUACUUAUUCUGCCUACUGGUUUUUCUAUAAGCUGUCGAUAUCAGGACUAAGGUUUCAGACAUGGUGACUUGAAACUUACAGUUGAGAAGAGCCAGAUAUUAAUGGGAGGAAGAACAAUACACUGACUUCUUCAUAAAAGCAAACACUGAUACAACACAUUAAGGAAUCAUUUCUCAUGUUAGUCCAACUUAAGGCAGAGUUCAACUCCAUUCCAACUGCUAAGAAACUGCUGCUAUGGUGGACAAGCUUUAGAGGGAAAGGAAUCUGUGCGAAGGUAUGGAGUAUUCUGUCCUAUGAUCUUCCUAGGUAAAUAGAGUUAUAAUAAGAUAUGAUCUGAUCUGUGUGUGUGUGGCAAACGAGGAAUCUGAGGUGUUUCUUCUCAUGUUUCAAAGGUUAUUGUGGCUGUAAAAGCAAAAAUCGAGCAAUGAACUGAAACAUUGAGCAAGAUUGAUGUACAAACAGUGGUAAUUGGUGCCUGUUAAGUGCAUAUUUUGGAUGUUCUGUUUUAGUGCGGAGGUCAGACUCUGAUCAGAUGUCUGCUGCUAUUAAAAGUUUUUGGUUCCCUCAGUUUUACCAGACUGUUCAUUUCCUGCACAAAGUGAUCAGGAGUGUAUAUAAC